AAUCUAAAGUUCCAAUUUUCGACGGUAUUGGUUUCUAAGCAUUUCCUUUAAUAAAUAAAAUUUAGUCUGUCAUAAGCACAGGGGCAAUUCGAAACCUCAAGGAAAAUCAGAAGAGUCUGAUAUAAUCGAUUCUAGAAUCUUAAUCGGCAUCUACUAGGUUAAAAAAUUAUGUUAUUAUUUUUUAGUUUUUUCGAAUACUAAAAAAUUAAUUUAGUCUAGUCU
rnacentral:misc_RNA from 1 species